ACGUACCCUUCUAUAGAAAUAAAUUGCCUUGCUGCAAAAACUUUUGUGUGAGUGCUAUUUUCACGUGGUGGCAGUGAGCAUUUACUUCCAACACAAGUCAAGCAUUUAUGGACAGAUAAACAUUCAAAAUACAAUAACUGGGAAAGUAUAUCUUUUACCCACUUUCUGGCCGCAGAUGAGCAACGGAGUUCCAGUGGAGGCAGAAAGAAGCAAUGAAUGCUCAAGUGCCUAAAAUAAAACCCAGGUGAUCCAAAAACCAAGAGCAGGACUUGCUUUGUCAUCCAAGCUGGAGUGUAGUGGCAUAAUCACGGCUCACUGCAGGCUUGACCUCCAGGCUCAAACAAUCUUUCUGCCUCAACCUCCCAAGUAGCUGGGACUACAGGGAUCACUGGCUGAUGUUUACAUUAGUGAAUUCUGAGAGUCCACAUCUAUGAAUUCCCACAUGUUGUGUGAGGGACCAGGGAGAUGUAAUUGGAUCACGGAGGCUGGUCUUUCCCAUGCUAUUUUCAUGAUAGUGAAUGACUCUCAUAAGAUCUGAUGCAUUU